rnacentral:rRNA from 1 species
CUCGCAGCCGCUUUCUUAAUUCUGAUGUGAAAGCCCCCGGCUCCACCGGGGAGGCUCAUUGAAACCGGGGAACUUGAGUGCAGCAGAGGAGAGUGGAAUUUCCACGUGUAGCGGUGAAAUGCGUAGAGAUGUGGAGGAACACCAGUGGCGAAGGCGACUCUCUGGUCUGUAACUGACGCUGAGGAGCGAAAGCGUGGGGAGCGAACAGGAUUAGAUACCCUGGUAGUCCACGCCGUAAACGAUGAGUGCUAAGUGUUAGGGGGUUUCCGCCCCUUAGUGCUGCAGCUAACGCAUUAAGCACUCCGCCUGGGGAGUACGGUCGCAAGACUGAAACUCAAAGGAAUUGACGGGGGCCCGCACAAGCGGUGGAGCAUGUGGUUUAAUUCGAAGCAACGCGAAGAACCUUACCAGGUCUUGACAUCCUCUGACAAUCCUAGAGAUAGGACGUCCCCUUCGGGGGCAGAGUGACAGGUGGUGCAUGGUUGUCGUCAGCUCGUGUCGUGAGAUGUUGGGUUAAGUCCCGCAACGAGCGCAACCCUUGAUCUUAGUUGCCAGCAUUCAGUUGGGCACUCUAAGGUGACUGCCGGUGACAAACCGGAGGAAGGUGGGGAUGACGUCAAAUCAUCAUGCCCCUUAUGACCUGGGCUACACACGUGCUACAAUGGACAGAACAAAGGGCAGCGAAACCGCGAGGUUAAGCCAAUCCCACAAAUCUGUUCUCAGUUCGGAUCGCAGUCUGCAACUCGACUGCGUGAAGCUGGAAUCGCUAGUAAUCGCGCAUCAGCAUGCCGCGGGGAAUAAGGUCCCGGUAGAGUUUGAUCCUGGCUCAGUCAGUCGUAAGCAAGGUAUACCGUAGAGUUUGAUCAUGGCUCAGUAAGUCGAACAAGGAGCCUGAG